CUCGAAGAACCUUACGUGGCAAUUACAAUGAGAGAACCCUACAGAGAAGGAUUGGUGCAUUGGGGAAAUAGAACACUGGUGCUGCGUGGGAGUCGUCAGCUCGUGUCGUGAGAUGUAAGGUUAAGUACCGUAAGGAGCGCAAACCUAGUCCUGAGUUACCAGUAAGUACAGGUGGGAACUUUAAGGAGACCGCCGGUGACAAACCGGAGGAAGGUGGGGAAGACGUCAAGUCAUCAUGACCUUAACGACCAGGGAUACACAAGUAUUACAAUGGUAGGGACAGAGGGCUGCAAGCCGGUGACGGUAAGCCAAUCUCCAGAAACCGUAUAUCAGUCGGGAGUUGGAGUCGGUAACUCGAUUUCAUGAAGUCGGAGUAGGUAGUAAUAGCAGAUGAGCAUGGAUGCGGAGAAUAGGUUACCAGGGCGUUGUCCUUUUAAGGGGCACACCAUGGGAGUGUGUGCACCAGAAGCAGGUAUUGUUAACUUCGGAGGGCGGGCCUCGCGUCUUGCUGU
rnacentral:rRNA from 1 species